GGAUGAGAAGCUUCGACUAAGGUUCGACUCGAGCGCCAGCGAGAGAGCGUUGCCGCAGGCAACGACCCGUAGGGCGAAGCGCGCAGCGCUGAGUAAUCCUUCCCCCACCACCA
rnacentral:sRNA from 1 species